rnacentral:rRNA from 1 species
GGUUAAGCGACUAAGCGUACACGGUGGAUGCCCUGGCAGUCAGAGGCGAUGAAGGACGUGCUAAUCUGCGAUAAGCGUCGGUGAGGUGAUAUGAACCGUUAUAACCGGCGAUUUCCGAAUGGGGAAACCCAGUGUGUUUCGACACA